GACAGAGGGUGCAAACGUUGUUCGGAAUUACUGGGCGUAAAGCGCGUGUAGGCUGCUUCGCAAGUCGGAUGUGAAAGCCCUGGGCUCAACCCAGGAAGUGCAUUCGAAACUGCAGAGCUGGAGUCCUGGAGAGGAAGGCGGAAUUCUCGGUGUAGAGGUGAAAUUCGUAGAUAUCGGGAGGAACACCAGUGGCGAAGGCGACUGUCUGGGGUUUUGCUGACGCCGAGGCACGAAAGCCAGGGGAGCGAACGGG
rnacentral:rRNA from 1 species